rnacentral:rRNA from 1 species
GUGGGGAAUAUUGGGCAAUGGAGGAAACUCUGACCCAGCGACGCCGCGUGCGGGAUGAAGGCCUUCGGGUUGUAAACCGCUUUCAGUAGGGAAGAAGCGAAAGUGACGGUACCUACAAAAGAAGCACCGGCUAACUAUGUGCCAGCAGCCGCGGUAAUACAUAGGGUGCAAGCGUUGUCCGGAAUUAUUGGGCGUAAAGAGCUCGUAGGUCGUUUGUUACGUCGGAUGUGAAAACCUGAGGCUCAACCUCAGGCCUGCAUUCGAUACGGGCAAACUAGAGUUUGGUAGGGGAGACUGGAAUUCCUGGUGUAGCGGUGGAAUGCGCAGAUAUCAGGAGGAACACCAAUGGCGAAGGCAGGUCUCUGGGCCAAUACUGACACUGAGGAGCGAAAGUCUGGGGAGCGAACAGGAUUAUGAUACCC